UGCAUGAACUUAAGACAUUGGAGACCCUCUGACACCAUUAGUAAAUAAUCAGAAUUUUGCAACCUAAAAUUUUACUUUAAUUGUACAGGGAAGUUUUACUU